GGCGGCGUAGCUCAGAUGGUUAGAGCACACGGUUCAUACCCGUGGUGUCCGGGGUUCAAAUCCCUGCGCCGCUACCA
rnacentral:tRNA from 1 species